GAUGAACGCUGGCGGCGUGCCUAAUACAUGCAAGUCGAGCGAACGGACGCGGAGCUUGCGUCUCUGAUGUUAGCGGCGCACGGGUGAGUAACACGUGGAUAACCUACCUAUAAGACUGGUAUAUCUUCGGAACUCCGGAGCUAACACCGGAUAAUCUCUUGAACCGCGUGGUUCAAAAGUGAAAGUCGGUCGUGCUGUCACUUCUAGCUGGAUCCGCGCUGCAUUAGCUAGUUGGUACGGUAACGGCCUAUCAAGGCAACGAUGCGUAGCCGACCUGAGAGGGUGAUAGGCCGCACUGGAACGGAGACACGGUCCAGGCUCCUACGGGAGGCAGCAGUAGGGUAUCUGCCGCAAUGGGCGGAAGCCUGACGGAGCAGCGCCGCGUGAGUGAUGACGGUCCUCGGAUCGGAAAACUCUGUUUUUAGGUAAGAACAGAUGUGUAAGGAACUGAGCACAUCUUGACGGUAACUAAUAAGAAAGCCACGGCUAACUACGUG
rnacentral:rRNA from 1 species